rnacentral:rRNA from 1 species
UACAGAGGUCUCAAGCGUUGUUCGGAUUCAUUGGGCGUAAAGGGUGCGUAGGCGGCGCGGUAAGUCGGGUGUGAAAUCUCGGAGCUUAACUCCGAAACUGCAUUCGAUACUGCCGUGCUUGAGGACUGGAGAGGAGACUGGAAUUCAUGGUGUAGCAGUGAAAUGCGUAGAGAUCAUGAGGAAGACCAGUGCGAAGGCGGCUCUGCG